UCCUCCCUCUGGCGGCGUGCUUAACACAUGCAAGUCGAACGGAAAGGCCCUGCUUUUGUGGGGUGCUCGAGUGGCGAACGGGUGAGUAACAAGUGAGUAACCUGCCCUUGACUUUGGGAUAACUUCAGGAAACUGGGGCUAAUACCGGAUAGGAGCUCCUGCUGCAUGGUGGGGGUUGGAAAGUUUCGGCGGUUGGGGAUGGACUCGCGGCUUAUCAGCUUGUUGGUGGGGUAGUGGCUUACCAAGGCUUUGACGGGUAGCCGGCCUGAGAGGGUGACCGGCCACAUUGGGACUGAGAUACGGCCCAGACUCCUACGGGAGGCAGCAGUGGGGAAUAUUGCACAAUGGGCGGAAGCCUGAUGCAGCAACGCCGCGUGCGGGAUGACGGCCUUCGGGUUGUAAACCGCUUUCGCCUGUGACGAAGCGUGAGUGACGGUAAUGGGUAAAGAAGCACCGGCUAACUACGUG
rnacentral:rRNA from 1 species